rnacentral:rRNA from 1 species
GAUGAACGCUGGCGGCGUGCCUAAUACAUGCAAGUCGAGCGAACAGACGAGGCGCUUGCUCCUCUGACGUUAGCCGCGGACGUGAGAGUAACACGUGUAUACCCUACCUAUAUGACUGGGAUCACCUCGGAAAACCGGCUCUAAUCCCGGAUAAUAUCUUGCACCGCAUGGUUCAAUAGUGAAAUACGGCUUUGCUGUCACUUAUCGCUGCAUCCGCGCCGGAUUAGCUAGUUGGUAAGGUAACAGCUUACCAAGGCUACGAGGCGUAGCCGACCGAAGAGGCGGAUCGGCCGCACUGGAAGGGGGCCACGGUCCAGGCGCCUAAGGGAGGCCGCAGUAGGGAAUCUUCCGCAAUGGGCGAAAGCCUGACGGAGCAACGCGGCGUGAGUGAUGAAGGUCUUCGGAUCGUAAAACUCUGUUAUUAGGGAAGAACAAAUGUGUACGUAAAUAUGCACGUAUUGACGGUAACUGAUCAGAAAGCAACGGCUAACUACGUG